rnacentral:rRNA from 1 species
GAGUUUGAUCAUGGCUCAGAUUGAACGCUGGCGGCAUGCUUUACACAUGCAAGUCGAACGGUAACAGGGAGCUUGCUCCGCUGACGAGUGGCGAACGGGUGAGUAAUGCGUCGGAACGUGCCGAGUAGUGGGGGAUAACGCAUCGAAAGGUGUGCUAAUACCGCAUACGAACUGAGGUUGAAAGUGGGGGACCUUCGGGCCUCACGCUAUUCGAGCGGCCGACGUCUGAUUAGCUAGUAGGUGAGGUAAAGGCUCACCUAGGCGACGAUCAGUAGCGGGUCUGAGAGGAUGAUCCGCCACACUGGGACUGAGACACGGCCCAGACUCCUACGGGAGGCAGCAGUGGGGAAUUUUGGACAAUGGGCGCAAGCCUGAUCCAGCCAUGCCGCGUGUCUGAAGAAGGCCUUCGGGUUGUAAAGGACUUUUGUCUGGGAGCAAAUACCCGGUGUUAAU